AAAUUGAAGAGUUUGAUCAUGGCUCAGAUUGAACGCUGGCGGCAGGCCUAACACAUGCAAGUCGAACGGUAACAGGAAGAAGCUUGCUUCUUUGCUGACGAGUGGCGGACGGGUGAGUAAUGUCUGGGAAACUGCCUGAUGGAGGGGGAUAACUACUGGAAACGGUAGCUAAUACCGCAUAACGUCGCAAGACCAAAGAGGGGGACCUUCGGGCCUCUUGCCAUCGGAUGUGCCCAGAUGGGAUUAGCUAGUAGGUGGGGUAACGGCUCACCUAGGCGACGAUCCCUAGCUGGUCUGAGAGGAUGACCAGCCACACUGGAACUGAGACACGGUCCAGACUCCUACGGGAGGCAGCAGUGGGGAAUAUUGCACAAUGGGCGCAAGCCUGAUGCAGCCAUGCCGCGUGUAUGAAGAAGGCCUUCGGGUUGUAAAGUACUUUCAGCGGGGAGGAAGGGAGUAAAGUUAAUACCUUUGCUCAUUGACGUUACCCGCAGAAGAAGCACCGGCUAACUCCGUGCCAGCAGCCGCGGUAAUACGGAGGGUGCAAGCGUUAAUCGGAAUUACUGGGCGUAAAGCGCACGCAGGCGGUUUGUUAAGUCAGAUGUGAAAUCCCCGGGCUCAACCUGGGAACUGCAUCUGAUACUGGCAAGCUUGAGUCUCGUAGAGGGGGGUAGAAUUCCAGGUGUAGCGGUGAAAUGCGUAGAGAUCUGGAGGAAUACCGGUGGCGAAGGCGGCCCCCUGGACGAAGACUGACGCUCAGGUGCGAAAGCGUGGGGAGCAAACAGGAUUAGAUACCCUGGUAGUCCACGCCGUAAACGAUGUCGACUUGGAGGUUGUGCCCUUGAGGCGUGGCUUCCGGAGCUAACGCGUUAAGUCGACCGCCUGGGGAGUACGGCCGCAAGGUUAAAACUCAAAUGAAUUGACGGGGGCCCGCACAAGCGGUGGAGCAUGUGGUUUAAUUCGAUGCAACGCGAAGAACCUUACCUGGUCUUGACAUCCACAGAACUUUCCAGAGAUGGAUUGGUGCCUUCGGGAACUGUGAGACAGGUGCUGCAUGGCUGUCGUCAGCUCGUGUUGUGAAAUGUUGGGUUAAGUCCCGCAACGAGCGCAACCCUUAUCCUUUGUUGCCAGCGGUCCGGCCGGGAACUCAAAGG
rnacentral:rRNA from 1 species